UUGGAUUUCCUUUGGCAGGGUUCCCUUGUAUGGAAGUUCUCAGGAGAACAACACUCUCAGAGUCCCAUUGUCUCAAAGAAUUCUUAAUGGACAGCUAUACUUGGCCCCAAGGUUUCAACCUCAGACUGAAGAAAGUGACAUAAGAAAACACAAGUCCCAGUGCUAUCAGGGGCUAUCUGGAAAAGCUGCUUAAACAGCAAGUGAAAGAAGGCUCUCCCCUACCCCGUUCUAGUUAUAAACAUCACAUCUCUUAACAUAUGGCCAAGAUGAUGAAGCUGAUGGAGUACGAUGGUGUUCAAACUUAGAUAAGCUAAUUCAAUAGACAACUAGAAAUGCCAAUGAGUCUAUCGUCCUAUGUAAGAUACACAUACCACAUGCUGUCAACCCAUCUGAGACACUCAGCUUUCAAAUGACAGUUCUUCUCUGAAGUUAACCUAGCCAAAAGAGUGAAGUACACUAUCUGUUAAGCUGUGUCAGUAGUUAAGUCUGUGUGUCUAAAUUAAAAACAUACUCACCCUGAAGUUAUUUGAAGGAUCCUUGAGACUCUUUUGGAUUGCUGCUUGGAGAACAUUCCUGUAACUUGUCCCUGCUCCUUGAACUAUAAAAGCAGAAGGGAGGUACUGAGUUAAAACUUAUAAAUUAUUAUCA
rnacentral:antisense_RNA from 1 species